UGCGAUCAUACCAAAGACUAAUGCGUCCCAUCGUAACUCCGCAGCUUGCGUGCUUGGGCGAGUAAUACUAGGAUGGGUGACCUCCUGGGAAGUCUAUAGAGCUGCA